UCCCUGGUGGCUCAGAGGGUAAAGAAUCUGCCUGCAAUGCAGGAGAUCCAGGUUCGAUCCCUGGGUUGGGUA
rnacentral:tRNA from 1 species